GUGCUCAGUUUGGCAGCACAUAUACUGGAAUGAUACAGAGAUUAACAUGGCCCCUGUGCAAGGAUGUCACACAAAUUUGUGAAGUGUUCCACAUUUUU
ensembl:snRNA U6 U6 spliceosomal RNA